CCCUAUUAUUUUUGAAUGUUAAUUGUUAUUUUGUGCCUGAGUAGUAUUAGUUAUGUUCUUGAAACUUAAAGAAUUUGGCGGUAUCUCAUUCCGUCCAGAGGAAUCUGUCUCGUUAUCGAUAGUCCGCGUUGGACCUUACUUAGUUGUUUUGGUUUGUAUACCGCCGUUUAUUGAUUAUCUUUUUAGGGUUNNUUAAUUUUCUGGUUUCUUUAUUUUGNUUUAUUUCAGGUCAAGGUGCAGCUUGUUUCUAAGUGGAUGAUGGAUUACAUUGUUAUUUGUUUAAGGAUUGUUGGGUUUUAAUAUUUGCAUGAAAUUGGAUUUGGUUGUAAUUAUUUGUAGAUUGU
rnacentral:rRNA from 1 species